rnacentral:rRNA from 1 species
UGUGAUGGGGAGCGAAAUUUAGUAGCGAAGUAGCUGAUUUCACACUGUCAAGAAAAGUCUCUAUCGAGGUUAAAGGUACCCGUACCGCAAACCGACACAGGUGGGUGAGGAGAGUAUCCUAAGGCCAGCGAGAGAACUGUUGUUAAGGAACUCGGCAAAAUGACCCCGUAACUUAGGGAUAAGGGGUGCCACCAUCAGGUGGCCGCAGAGAAUAGGCCCAAGCGACUGUUUACCAAAAACAUAGG